rnacentral:lncRNA from 1 species
CCCUGGGAGGUAGCAGUCCUUUAGUUAAGCAAAAACCCCUUUAAAUCUAUCCAAAAUUUGUUGCACUGCUCCUGGGAUACUAAGGCUAGUACUUUUAGCAUGUCUCUACAUAAUUUGCAGCCAUAUUCCCUUCGAUGUUCCCUUCUUGAGGUCAUCAAUAUUAUCUUCCUCAGUCACAUUUGUUACUGGUCUUUGGAUUCCCUGCAACUCCACAGCUUUUUCUUUACAUUGAAACCUCAUGAUUAGGUCAGAAAAAUUCCAUAAAACUGAUCCCAAUCUUCUCAGCCAAUCGAUACCCAAAACUAGGUCACAACCCCCAAGUGCCAACACAAACAAAUUAGUCACAAAAGAAUAAUCUUGCAACUUUAAAGGAACUAGCUUACAUUAACCUAGGCAAGGAAGACUGGCGCCAUUAGCCACCUGUACUGUUAAGUGGCUAUCUUUCCUUGACAGGUUUGCCUUCCGUGCUACAUUUGGAUCUAUAAAACUAUGAGUACUCCCUGUAUCAAUUAAAACCACAACUUUUUGGUUAUUAAAUUCAGCAAGUAGUCUCAAAGUCUUAGGGGCUAUAGAUCUAGCAAUAGCGUGUAGGGUUAUCCCUAACAAUUCUCCCAUUUCCUCUCCAUUUGUCUCUAUCACAAUCAGGGCACCUUUUUCAUUCCCUUUUUCUUCAUUCUCCUCUUCCUCUCCUUCCAUUCUUUCCAAAAGGUAAAUUUUUGGUUUGUUACAUUUGUGGCGUGGGUGGUACUUCUCAUCACAAAACCAACAUAGUUAUUUUUCCUUUCUUUCUUGCAUUUGGUCAGAGAGACUCUUUUUAUGGGGAAGCUGGUUUUUCUGGAAUUAUUGAAGUUUUGAGGUUGUGGGUUGGGCUUAUUUUGAGGGGCUAGUAGUCUUAGUGGAGGGGUUGGUACAAGCAGUUUCGAUAGGUUAUUUGGAUUGGUGUUUUGGUAGGUUUGAAAUUUGUUUAAAUUUGAUCUCAUGCGCUUAAUCACCUCUUGUUCUUGUAAUAUGGCCAGACCGAAAGCUGCCGACAAAGUUGAUGGUUUAAACAUUGUGCCAAUGAUCCUCAAAUCAUCCCUUAAGCCACUUAAAGAUGUACUAAUUCGAAACUCUUCUGAUAACCCAUGUAUUUUAUUAGAUAACAUUUCAAAUUGGGUUUGAUAAUCUUCCAUAGUCCCACUUUGCCUUAACUUUGUAAAUUUCCCUACAAGAUCCUAAUAGACUGAGGGUCCAAAUCUUACCUCUAAAGCUGAAACAAAAGCAUCCCAAGUGUUGACUGGACUAGACUCCUUUAACCAACUAUACCAAGAUAAGGCCUUUCCUUCCAUAUGGAAAAAAGCUAUUUGCAACCUUUUAGUCAUCGGGUGUAUUAUAAUGCUCAAGAAAUUAUGUUGCUUUUUGGACCCACUCAUACAAAUCAGUACCAUCAAAUUUAGGAAAAUCUAAC